UACGAAGGGUGCAAGCGUUGUUCGGAAUUAUUGGGCGUAAAGCGCACGUAGGCGGCCUUGUAAGUCUCACUGUGAAAGUCCGGGGCUCAACCCCGGGAUGCCAGGGGGAUACCUGCGAGGCUUGAGACAAGUAGAGGUUGGUAGAAUUCCGGGUGUAGCGGUGGAAUGCGUAGAGAUCCGGAGGAAUACCAGAGGCGAAGGCGGCCAACUGGACGAAUACUGACGCUGAGACACGAAAGCGUGGGGAGCAAACAGGG
rnacentral:rRNA from 1 species